GUUGAAGUAGAACAUCCAGUAAAAUAAGGAUUGAAAC
rfam:[Clostridium] clariflavum DSM 19732 chromosome, complete genome.